GUGAGAUGACACCUGAGAACGUAGAGGAGGCGUCUUCUCUAGAGGACUUCCUGAAGUCUCACCCUCAGAGAAAGCGCAUCAGGAAGUUCCUCAAACAAAUGAAUGUGACCAUAGAGGACCUGGAGGACAUGUCCUAUGCGUUCCUCCUGCCAGCGAUAGCUCUGCUCAGGAUCUCCAGUCCAGAAUCAUCCAACUGCUCCUUCCGGGGUUCAGGGGUGCUGAAGAUUGUCUCGGAGACGUUCCACCGGCGGAGCUCUGAGCCAAAGGGGAGGCUCAGGGGCGGGAAGCCCCCCACGCCCAAUUCUGAGACAGACAAGGAGC